rnacentral:rRNA from 1 species
GACGAACGCUGGCGGCGUGCUUAACACAUGCAAGUCGAACGGCAAGGCCCUGCUUUUUUGGUGUGCUCGAGUGGCGAACGGGUGAGUAACACGUGAGUAACCUGCCCUUGACUUUGGUAUAACUUCAGGUAACUGGGGCUAAUCCCGGAUAGGAGCUCCUGCUGCAUGGUGGGCGUUGGAAAGUUUCGGCUGUUGGGGAUGGACUCGCGGCUUAUCAGCUUGUUGGUGGGGUAGUGGCUUACCCAGGCUUUGACGGGUAGCCGGCCUGAGAGGGUGACCGGCGACAUUGGGACUGAGAUACGGACCAGACGCCUACGGGAGGCAGCAGUGGGGAAUAUUGCACAAUGGGCGGAAGCCUGAUGCAGAAACGCCGCGUGCGGGAUGACGGCCUGCGGGGUGUAAACCGCUUUCGGCUGUGACGAAGCGGGAGUGACGGUAAUGGGUAAAGAAGCACCGGCUAACUACGUG